CCGACUUGUCGUCUGUCGCCCAGGUAACCUCCGGCUGCAGCAGAUGAUGGCAUCGAUGUGCGAGGCCCGAGGAGCCAAACUUUUCGCAACAGAUGAGAGAUUCUGCAUUGAUAAUGGAGCGAUGAUAGCCCACGCUGGAUGGGAGAUGUUCCGAGCAGGGCAUGUGACACCUCUGGAGGAUUCCUGGAUCACACAGAGGUUCAGGACAGACGAGGUGGAGGUCACUUGGAGGGACUAAAGGGCCCUCUCCUGGAAUGCCAAGCGAGAGAGAGCUGUCUGCUAACAGUGCCCCGAGACCGUUUCGAAAUAUAUUUUAUGUUCCGCACCCCUGCUCUGAUACCUUCGUCCAGCGAGGGGGAGGGGCAGGACUCGAAUCUGUAUCGACUCCUCGCCAAUAAAACCCCUUGGGACGUUUAAUGACGAAACAGUCUUAAGGUUCAGGAAUGCGAGAUUCUGCACUUCGGCAGGAAGAACAGAGGAGCUGACUAUUAUUUAAAACGGGGAUAGCCGCAGCGCAGAGGGAUCUGGGAGUCACGUAGCACGGGUGUAUGCCCUCCGGUCCAACUCGUCUGUGUCAACCAAAUAUCCUAAAUUAAUCUCGUCCCAUUUGCCAGCAUUGGGCCCAUAUCCCUCUAAACCCUUCCUACCCAUGUCCCCAUCCAGAUGCCUCUUAAAUGUUAUAAUUGUACCAGCCCCCACCCACUUCCUCUGGCAGCUCAUUCCAUACACGCACCACCCUCAGUGUGAAAAGGUUACCCCGCAGGUCCCUUUUCCCCUCUCACCUUAAACCUAUGCCCCUCUGGUUUGGGAGUCCCUUACCCUGGGGGGAAAAGACCUUGUCUUUUCACCCUAUCCAUGACCCUCAUGAUUUUACAUAACCCUGUAAGGUCACUCCCUCAGCCUCCGACGCUUCAGGGAAAAUAGCCCCAGCCUAUUCAGCGUCUCCUUGUAAGUCAACUCCUUCCACCUGGCAACAUCUUUGUAAAUCUUUUCUGAACCCUUUCAAGCUUCACAACAUCCUUUCUAUAGCAGGGAAACCAGAACUGAACGCAGUAUUCCAAAAGUGGCCCUAACCAAUGCCCUGUACAGCCACAACAUGACCCUCCCAACUCCUAUACUCGACGCACUGAAGGCAACCGUACCAAACACCUUCUUCACCGCCCUGUCUACCUGCGACUCUACUUUCAAGGAACUAUGCACCUUCACUCCUAGGUCCCUGUGUUCUGCCUAAGACUUGCCCUGGUCUGAGUCACCGAAAUGCCAAUUUAUUUAGACAAGGCAGCACAAAUUUUCACCCAGGUCAAUACAAGGUGUGAGUGAGACUGAAAUGGUCAAAGUCAAGUCAGCAAGUUACAUUUGAAUGAGUUUCUAUGAAUUUUACAAAUGAACAUCAAACGUUUAUGUGGAUCUAUUGUACACAGAAAUAUGAGUUUAUUAAACAGAUCAACCUCUUCCUUGGCAAAA